CCUACGGGAGGCAGCAGUGGGGAAUAUUGGACAAUGGGCGAAAGCCUGAUCCAGCAAUGCCGCGUGUGUGAAGAAGGCCUUCGGGUUGUAAAGCACUUUAAGUUGGGAAGAAAAAGCUCUGGCUAAUAUCUAGAGCCUUGACGGUACCAACAGAAUAAGCACCGGCUAACUCUGUGCCAGCAGCCGCGGUAAUACAGAGGGUGCUAGCGUUAAUCGGAUUUACUGGGCGUAAAGCGUGCGUAGGCGGUUUGAUAAGUCGAUUGUGAAAGCCCCGGGCUUAACCUGGGAAUUGCAGUUGAUACUGUCGGACUAGAAAACGGUAGAGGGAGGCGGAACUCCAGGUGUAGCGGUGAAAUGCGUAGAUAUCUGGAAGAACACCGAUGGCGAAGGCAACCUCCUGGGCCUGUUUUGACGCUGAGGCACGAAAGCGUGGGUAGCAAACAGGAUUAGAUACCCUGGUAGUCCACGCCGUAAACGAUGAGAACUUGACGUUGGUUUGCUUAGCAAAUCGGUGUCGUAGCUAACGCGAUAAGUUCUCCGCCUGGGGAGUACGGCCGCAAGGUUGAAACUCAAAUGAAUUGACGGCUGAGACCGNGCGAGACGACGACGAGGGAGAGG
rnacentral:rRNA from 1 species